rnacentral:tRNA from 1 species
GUAGUAGUGCCCGAGUGGUCGAAGGGGGUGGACUGUAAAUUCACUAUAUCACACGUUGGUUCGAAUCCAACCUGCUACA